rnacentral:rRNA from 1 species
GGAAUAUUGGACAAUGGGGGCAACCCUGAUCCAGCCAUGCCGCGUGCGGGACUAAGGCCCUAUGGGUCGUAAACCGCUUUUGUUGGGGAGCAAUAAGGCGUACGUGUACGCCGAUGAGAGUACCUGGCGAAUAAGCAUCGGCUAACUCCGUGCCAGCAGCCGCGGUAAUACGGAGGAUGCGAGCGUUAUCCGGAUUUAUUGGGUUUAAAGGGUGCGCAGGCGGAACUGUAAGUCAGUGGUGAAAUACCCGCGCUCAACGUGGGCCGUGCCAUUGAUACUGCGAUUCUGGAGUACUGUUGCCGUGGGAGGAAUGGGUAGUGUAGCGGUGAAAUGCAUAGAUAUUACCCAGAACACCGAUUGCGAAGGCAUCUCACGAAGCAGUCACUGACGCUGAGGCACGAAAGCGUGGGGAUCGAACA